rnacentral:rRNA from 1 species
UUUAACAAAAACAUGUCCUUUUGAGUUCAAUUUAAGGUCGGGCCUGCCCCCUGAUUAACGUUAAAGGGCCGCGGUAUUUUGACCGUGCAAAGGUAGCAUAAUCAUUAGUCUUUUAAUUGAAGGCUGGAAUGAAUGGUUUGACGAAAUAUUAACUGUCUCUUUAUAAAAAAAUAAAAUUUAACUUCUGAGUUAAAAGGCUUAGAUGAUUGUAAAAGACGAGAAGACCCUAUAGAUCUUUAUACACAUGUGUAUUUAUUUUGUUUAGGUGGGAUUUUAAUGAAUAUACUAGUGUAUUUUGUUGGGGUGACAUGAAGAUAAAACUAACUCUUUAUUGAUAAUACAUUGAUGUAUGAAUAGUUGAUCCG